GUGGCGAAAUGAUUUGUAAAAUAUACAGUUGAGCAUUGUUUCAUUUCGUAUCCUGUAAUCAUUUAUACUUCAAAGAAGGCUUGAGCGGACAGUACCAUGGAUUCUGUAGCCGAGGACGAUAUAACUCUUCCUCUAGAUUUUGAUCGGAGCACUAACCUCGCAAGGUUCAGGGAGGCUGUUGUGGCGGGCACGGGAGGUGACAUGUUGGAUUCCUCCGCCGAAUUUUCCGAGGGAUUAACAGUACGACCUACAACAACAGGUACAGCUAAUCAAGACAGUGGUGGGUCUCCUCAAACAAAAACAAUGAAAGACUAUGAAUAUCAAAUAUCAGAGCUAAAGAAAGAAAAUUUUGGUUUGAAGCUGAGAAUUUAUUUCUUGGAAGAACGUGUUAACCAGAGUGGUGAUGUUCCAGAGGACAUUUUCAAGGCUAACAUUGAACUUAAGGUGACAGUGGAAAAGCUGAAGAAAGAGUUGGUUGAAAGACAGGAAUUGCUGGUUAAAGCCUCGAAUGCAGUGGAAACCUUUGCUCAAAAUAAUGACACACAGAUUAAACAGCUUACAGAAGAACACAAUGAAGAGCUGAGAGAGAUCAGGGAAGGAUAUGAAACAAAACUUAAAGAAAUGGAACAGGAAUUGGCAAUUGCUAAAAAUGAACUUGAGGACACAGCUGAUAGGCUUGCAGAGACUGCUAAUCUUAAUCAACAGUUGAAUGAGAAGCUGUUAGAAGGUACUGAUGGAUUCCAUGAUGAUCAGCAGCAAAUGCAAGUUGCCAUGAAGGCCACUUUAGAUGAGAAAGACAGGAUGAUAGAUGAUUUGAGAGGGUCUCUUGCUUCUGUACAGGCAGAGAACAAGGAUUUGAAAGAAAAUUUGGACAACCUGAAGGAUAUUCAAAGCCAGCUGGAGCAAAACAUCCCCCAUAGUUUAGAAAUGAAUGAGAAACAGAUCCUAGAGUGCCAGAGGAGAAUCAAACAGCUGACAGAGGAACUAGAAAACAAAAACCAUAAGUUAGAGGAACUGAAGGAGAAAGCCAAGAAAACAGAGAGGACCAACAGGGAGUUAAGAAAUCAGCUUCAUGACAAGGAAAGGGAACAGCAUCUUAAUUCAAGGAACUCCACCGAUAAUUCACUAUCUCUGAGUCAGAGGGAUGGCCCCAGGGACAGCGAGCUUCAGCAGUUGCAGACCAAAGUUCAAGACUUAAAUCAGAGUUUGACAGCAACACGAGAGGCAGCACAUACAGCCAAGAGAAAGUGGUAUCAGGCUUUUGAGGAACAUUCUGAAAUUCUUAAGGCAAGAGACGCCAUGAUAGCUGCUUUACAAAGCUCUUUGAGUGCAAAAGAUUUGGAAUUAGAGAAACUUAUUCAGUCCUUGUCUUCCAAAGAAGUUGAACUGCAGAGAUUGAACAAUGGGAAGCUCCUCCUUGAACAACGCCUUGAUGAAGUGUUAAAACAAAAAGAACGUGAGCAAGCUGAACUGAUGGAAAAACAUAAAGCGCUCUCUCAAGAACACUAUUCCAAGAUGGACGCUCUCGAAGAAGCUUAUCAGCACGUGACUGCUGGAGCUCAAGAACAACUCGAGGCAAAGGAUCGACUUAUCCAGAAGCUGGCAGCUAACAACAAGGAGAAAGACAAUUUAAUAGCGGACUUCGUAGAGGCUUUGAAGGGAAGUGGUAUGGAUGAUUCAGUGGUCAAGGGCUCAACUGAUGAUCAGGAGAAUCUUUUGAAGAAACUGACCAACUACACUAAAGAGAAGGAUCGUGCUCUCCAGGUUGCAGCUGAAGAAAAAGUGCGCGCUUUGCAAGGAAAGGAAGGCGAGCUACAGCAGUUAAGACAGGCCUUGAGAGAGAGAGACAGGCUGAUUGAAAAAAUCAACACCGCUGUCCUUGAAUCCCAAGAAAAGAAUAAACUAUUAGAACGGACAAGCAAAGAAAGAAGUGAAGCUUUACAAAAAAAGUUGUCGUCCUUCGAGGAUCAGCUUAAAGGAAAAAAGGGAGAUCUAGAAACAAAAGAAGCCAGUUUACAAGAGAAAGAACUUGUUAUUCAGAAACUAAAGCACAGUCUGAACCACAGGGAAGAGGAAUUGAAGGAAUUGAAGGACUUUGUAAAGAACGCUUUGAGCAGUCCAGACGAGGAUGAAAGUUUAAGUGAUGAGGCAAAGAAGGCCCAGGAAAUAUCGGAAUUGUUGAAAGAAAAGGAAAAACUUUUGGAGGAAAUGUUCCAUGAGCGUGCUAGGUUAUCAUCUACUAAUGAAGCCAACACUCAAAGACUCAUGGCAGCUCUUAAAGACAAGGAGACUGCACUUAAGGAGGCUGCUGCUGACUUAACACGUGUACAAACUGAAAAGAACUCCACCAUCCAGACACUACAGCAAUUACUUAGCAACAAAGAGCACGAAGUACAGGCCUUAGAAAACAGCAAAGCCUGGGCGUCCCAGGAAAAUGAGAAGUUAAUUAACAAAUUAAGGCUGACCAUACAAGACAAAGACAAGACUAUCGCAGGUCUUGUGGAAAGUGGACGAGAGAAAGAUAAGAUGUUGAAAGUGUUACAGGAGUCCAGUAAAAGCACACCAAAGGCCCCCAGCCCUGCCGAAGUGGCGGAACUAAGGCGAAAUAUUGGUCUAUUACAGGCUGAAGUGCAAAAGAAAGAUGAAUCUCUGAGGAAGCUUGAGUCGGAUUACAGAAACAACUUGCGGAAACUUCAAGGCGAUGAUCAAGAGAACAAGUUGAAGUUUGAGAAUCUCCAGCAUGAAAUACAGACAAGAGAUGCACUCUUAAAACAGGCAAAGGGUACAAUCGAUAAUCUUCGUUCCAGACUACAGAGCAUCCCUAAUUUAGAGGAUCUAAAGCAAAAGUUUGUAGAGCAGUCGCAGGCCUUGGCUGAGGCUCAAAAAGGGAAAGAGCAAGCACUUGUUGAUUCAGCCGCACUCAAGAAAUCUAACUUGGAGCUAGAAGCGGAACUGAAAGUUAAACUGAACAACAUUGAAAUGCUUAAUGAGGCUGCGCAGAUGAAGGACCGAAUCAUUAAGGAGAUGCAAGAAGAUCAACAGAAGCAAUUAAAAGACAUGAAAGAGAAUAUUGGAUAUUAUCAUAAGAAAGCUCAAGAACUUGAGGCCUCAAAUAAUUCGCUACGGCAUCAGCUUAUGGAGACAGAGGACCUGAAGAAUUCGCUCGAGCAGCAACUCGAAAGCUACAAGCAAAGGUUAAAUAAUCAGGCUUCUUACGGGGAGGAAGAAGUAAACCUUUUACGUCAAGAGGUCAGCAACCUUAAGGCCAGGCUACAAAGGACUGGUACGCCACACAGGGAAAGUCCUGGAGUGGGAGCGGGGGCCGAUGAACAGCAACUUGCCUCCAGCAAAACUUCAAGCCCCCAUCCGGCAUCUCCGUAUGACGCCGCUUAUCAGAGAGAGAUACAAGAACUCAAAUCGAGGCUUGAAGAUAGUGACCGGUGGAAUGCUUCAUUGCAGGCUCGGUUGAAUGAAUUACAGCCGCGAGUCAGUGGUUUUGGGGGCUCAAGUGGAGACAGUUUACCCUCAAAGGUUCAACGAUUAGAGCAGCAAGUGGAAAAAUUGAAGGAACAACUCAAACAGAGCGGCCAGCUGAAUGUUGGGCUCAAGAAUCAACUGGAUGAUAGUAAUUCGUUGCACAUGCAGACUUUGGCUGAGAAAGACGAUCUGAUAACAGAUUUGACUCGACAGAUUGAUAGUCUUCAAACGCAGUUAGACAACACGAGACAAACGUUCAGCGAGUUGGAGAGAAGAUUACAAGAUGCAAACAGCAGACUAGAAUAUUAUGCUACCAGUUUGAACGGUAGCCAUGACGAUACCCUGCUUGAGCGGGAACAAGAAUUGGAAAUUUUAAAACACGAGUUAGACGAGUUGCGUCGGAUUCAAGCUCGUAACCAAGCUCGUAUGGCCGCGCAGACGUCGCCUUUAAAGGACUGGACUCAAGGGUCAAGUGAUAAGUUGAGGGACCUGGAACGCAGAUUAGAAGAGAGUGCGCAAACGAACGAGCAGUACAAGAAUAUUUUGGAAGAGAAGGAAUUGGAAUUGCAACAGCUUAAAGCGAUGGAGGCAUCAAGAGAUAAAGAAAAGUCUAAAGCGAAUGAUCGAGAGAUGGCUGAAAUCGAAAGACUCCGCGAGGAAUAUGUAACAGGUAUCAAAACAAACGAAGAACUUAAAAAGGCUCUUGAAAGUGAACGGGAAAAGAACCGUGACAGAUCAAGGGCUUCGGAUGGAGUCCUGGAACUUCGGCUACAGCUUGACGAAUCCUUACAGAAGAACGAACACCUUCAGCGACAGCUUCACGAGAGAGCCCGAUCCGAGGACGAAGUUAACCGACUGAGGCACGAUCUACAAAAUGCUACCCAAAUGAAUGAAUCGUUAGGAUCGCAGAUACGGGAAUUCAACGAAUCUUUUUCCAAAAUAAAAGGGGUUAGGGCAGAUGCAGUAAAAAUGCAGAAAGAACUGAAAGAUGCUCAACGUUUGAAUAGAACACUCACAGAUCAGCUCAAAGAGACGAGGAAAUCUGCGGAGGAAGUUGGAAGAGUACAGCGUGAGCUUAGGGAGGCUAAAAUGAUGAAUGAUCAGCUUGGGAAACAGCUGUCUGAGCUCCUGAAUCACUCGGCGAAGAUGAAAACCCAAAUUGAAAAAUUGCAGCACGAAUUGCAAGAGAAAGAUAAGGUUAUUGAGACAUUACAGCUGAGACUUCAGUCCAAAGCUGACAUGCAGUCCAUAGCGCUGUCUCCAUUUUCGUCGCCGUCCAGACGUUUUGUAGAAACGCAAACCAGUCCGGCGGCUUCACCUCAGGGGAUGCGGGAGAGUUCAUCGCAAUCAAAUUCCUCGACUGAGGCCAUUGAGAAGCUUCAGCAGAUGAACAGAGUGCUGCUGGGAGAAAAUCAUCUGCUGAAGAGCAAACUGAAAGACUGUGAAAAGUUAAAUGAAACACUGAAGAACGAGAACGACUUGUUCUCCAGAUUACACAAUCAGUCCAACGAAACGCAAUCCAACAGCCAAAAACGAUCUAACAUGGACGACCUUUUGGCCGGAUUCAUGGCUGAAAUGCGCGAACUGCGCUUGCGCUUAGAGGAUAGUAUUCGCACUAACGAUGCGCUGCGGGCGCAGUUGGAGAUGCGAUUGUCCGAGGGGGCAGGUGACGGUAGUGCAUCGAACGCCCCUGAUCAAAUUAUUUUGAUUCGCGAGAAUGACUCGCUGCGGACUGAGUUACUGAAAAAAGAUCAAUCUAAUGAGAAAUUGAAGAAAACCAUCGAUGGAUUAACGCGAGAGCAAACGAGGGACAAAGAGCAACUCAAUCUUCUCCGCCAACAGAUGUUGGAGAGCACUAAAGUUGCUGAAAACCUCAGAAAAGAAUUGAGUGUUUACGAGAAGCUCUACAAACUGUCUUACGAAGGCAGGAACAUCGAAUUACAGACUGAUGGGCAAAGUUAUGGCAGUGAGGGACCUCGAAGUCCUAACAGCGAGUCACAGCAAGACGCCCUGUCGAUGUUACUGGCUGAAAUCCGAAGCCUACGAAUCCAGCUGGAGAAAAGUAUUGAAACCAACAAUGCAUUGCGACUUAGACUUGAAGAACAACUUAGUCGGCCUGCCAGUUCACCAUCCCAGUCUCCCAGCAGAUCUCAAGGCACGUUCACUCGACGGCUGAACUUCUCGGAGAGGAAGGGAGGGGAAGAUAUUGGUACUGUCGAGUCUGUCACAGACUUACAAAAUGGUGGAAUUUCUAACGAGGAGCAACAAGUUAUGAGUCAGCUUGAAGAGAAGUUAGACUCUCUAAACAAGUUUGCAACUGAGGCGUACAAUAGCGUUAUAUCAAGCUCGCAGACCGAUAGUCUGCCUUAUAUUGAAAAUAUUUUGAGAAUUAUUUUACAAUGCAAGGCGCUGUUGAAGGCAUUGCAUGUCGACAUUUCUCGUCAGCGUACACACAGUGAUCCAGAUGAUUCUGACAAAGAGAAUGAAAGUCUCAAGCUCGAAAUUGGAAAAUUAAGACGCCGACUUCUUAUUCAAGAAGAUAUAAUUAAACGCGCGUGUGAAAGACUCGAGACUACAAAUAAAGUCAAGGAGAGCACACGUGAUGAGAUUAUUGAACACUUAUCCGUCUCACAGAAGGUCUUAUCCGGUGCCAGGGGAAAAUUAGAGAAUCGUCUUCGUCCGAGCAAGGCAGCUAAAUAAUAAGGGUGCACAAUUGUAAAAUGAUAGGAUAUAAAGCUGUCCAAAAAGUUAAGUAUAUAAGUUAAAGAAAUUUUUUAAAAAAAUUCUAUAUUUUCGAUCAAUCGUAAAUCCAUUUUUCUAUCGCGAAAAUUGUUUAUUUUUUCAUAAAACAAUAACAAAGCUAAAAAUAGUGUUACUGAAGGCCAGUAUUUAAAAAUUGGUUUUCAAGUAACACCGAGGAGCUUCAGCAGGGCAGGUUCAUUGAUAUUGUACAUUCAUUAUUGAAAGUAUCUCAAAGGAAGUGAAUUUAUCAUCAUGUAAAAUGUUUCACCAAUAGAAAUGGUUUCGUUAAGUUAUUGUUUGUUUGUUUGGUUUUUUUUGCAUCUCCACAGUAGUUUAGGGCUUGAACUGUUACUUAGCUAAAUAAUAAUCUUAUCCCUGCAUUGAAAAAGGUUAAUUCCACCAUCAACGGUUUUCAAUUCGACUUGUAAUUCAUAAUUUAAAAAAAAACGCUAACUUCAAACCACCGUCCACGAAUGACGAUCAUUACACUCUUAUCGCGAGUCCAAAGUCCAUAGCAUGUACAGCCGUGACGUCACCCAAUACUUGAACAAAGCCUGUAACAACAAAGUAAUAAGGAGUAAUUGAUAGGAAGGAGGUAAUUAUUGUGAGAGUUGAAGUCUUGCCUGAAGACAAAACGGAAAAAAUACUAUUUUGUGUUGAAAACUUACCAAGUUCUCAUCCUGUUUUAGCACGAUAAAACUGAAACCAUGCGACACUUCUGCAUCACGUAACUGUCAGAAGCAAAACUUAAGCAUAACUUGACAUGCACAGUGUUGCGUCACCCUCUUAGCAACAUUUUCCAAUGAGUUAUCGAUGGUUUCGUUCCUCAGAUCUAAGUGACUUUACUUCUUUGUCCCUCUGCAGUAGUUUUAAUGAGUCGCCUUACAGUAGCCUCCAAAUAUUUUAUUAGUAACCAGCGAUCCAAAGGAAGAUAGGGGAAAGAGAAAUUUAGCUGACGGAGCCUGUUGUUGAUUUAACCGUGCCGCAACUUUCCCGGUUUCUGCUGCGUGAAUUGUGAGAGAUUCUACCAGCAAGGCAAAGUGUGGCUUCCGUGCCUCUACGUGAUAGUAUUGGAUAAUUCUUGACACAAGUGAUAAAAUAGUUCAGUUCCCUUUUCAAAAGAGGAUUAUCUUCUGCCAUAAAGGUCAAAUUAAACGUCAGUUACAAUGGUAAAAUGAAAAAUAACCUCAUGAAUAUAAAAAAAUUAACACCUUUUUUGAAAAAGUUGCCCAGCAUCACCCAAUGCGGAAAUUUUAAGACAUCUUCACUGCAAGCGGCGAAAAUAUGCUAUUAAAGACUAACAGAAAUGCUGUUGGUUCACCGAUAUCUUG